rnacentral:rRNA from 1 species
UACGUAGGGGGCUAGCGUUGUCCGGAUUUAUUGGGCGUAAAGAGCGUGUAGGCGGCCAGAUAGGUCUGCUGUGAAAACUCGAGGCUCAACCUCGAGACGUCGGCGGAAACCAUCUGGCUAGAGUCCGGAAGAGGAGAGUGGAAUUCCUGGUGUAGCGGUGAAAUGCGCAGAUAUCAGGAAGGACACCCGUGGCGAAGGCGGCUCUCUGGGCCGAUACUGACGCUGAGGAGCGAAAGCGUGGGGAGCGAACAGG